UAGAUAUUUUGUAAACAAAUU
rnacentral:piRNA from 1 species